UGAAUCUAAAUUGCUUGAUUCUAUAGAUUUGAAAAAAUUUGAGUCGAAGCGAAUCCAAACCCAAAACCUUCGGGCCGAGUGCACAGAGAAAUGAUCCUACUAAAGCAACAUCAUGGGCGUGAGAGUUGGGAUAGUGGUCCUUUUCCUACUGGGUUUGGCCUUGUCCUGCGACGCUCGGAAACUCGGUUCACUUUUCCGGUAAGAAUUCCAGAGGUGUACACACAGACACAAUAAGAACGCAUCAUGCUAUGAGAAAGGGAAAGUUCUUGGAAAAGAUUGUAUAUUUAGUCUGAAAAUAAACCCAGUUCUGUUUGGGUCCAAUUAUUCCAUCCACUUCUCUUUGAUUUCGUACUUGGUCAUUUAUGUAAUUUUCAUCAAUUUGAACAAGAGGAAAAUUUAUCAGCA